CCUACGGGAGGCAGCAGUGAGGAAUAUUGGACAAUGGGCGCAAGCCUGAUCCAGCCAUGCCGCGUGCAGGAUGACGGUCCUAUGGAUUGUAAACUGCUUUUGCACAGGAAGAAACAACGCUACGUGUAGCGUCUUGACGGUACUGUGAGAAUAAGGAUCGGCUAACUCCGUGCCAGCAGCCGCGGUAAUACGGAGGAUCCAAGCGUUAUCCGGAAUCAUUGGGUUUAAAGGGUCCGUAGGCGGUUUAGUAAGUCAGUGGUGAAAGCCCAUCGCUCAACGGUGGAACGGCCAUUGAUACUGCUAGACUUGAAUUAUUAGGAAGUAACUAGAAUAUGUAGUGUAGCGGUGAAAUGCUUAGAGAUUACAUGGAAUACCAAUUGCGAAGGCAGGUUACUACUAAUUGAUUGACGCUGAUGGACGAAAGCGUGGGUAGCGAACAGGAUUAGAUACCCGUGGUAGUCCACGCCGUAAACGAUGGAUACUGCUGUUGGGAGCAAUUUCAGUUGGCGUAGAGAAGUAGAUAAGUACUACCACCGUCGGGUAGGUACGUCGACGAGAAGAGAACGUACGAAGGUAAGUUAGGACGGACGUAGAGACGCGACCGACGGACGACGACGGAGGGAGGAGG
rnacentral:rRNA from 1 species